GUUGGGUACCAGGUUGUGGGGUUASAUUGUUUUCCUUUCCAGCACCACCAACCAUCCUGAAGAGGGCGCCAGUGGGUUGGAUCUUGGCAGGAGGGUGUGCUGACAGGCUCUACAGGACACACCUGAUUGGCAUCAUCAUCUCCCAGGAGGAGUAUAAGAGCAGCGGGCUUCCAGCACUUCUCUGCCAGAGUGUUGCCUUUAGUGGUACAUCAGCCCGCUGAGUAGUUUCCUCAGAAACGUUUUUUCAAGGUGUUCUCCUAGUAGCCUUUUGACCAGUCUCUUGUUACUCUUUUCCAGGACGUCUACCAGGUUCUCCGGGGAAGCCUUCCCCCAAAGCCAACUAGCCUGGGAUUACCCCUUCUUGUGACUCCUCUCUAGUUGGAAGCCCUCCGCUGUUCCUCCGAGCCUCCUCAGAUCCACCUGUCCGCCCUCCAACGCCAUAACCACCGUCKGUCUACYUAHGYCCUCUCCACUACUCCCUCUCUUGGCACCCACUCCCCUCCGCUGGACUUUACCUGCUACCUUUGUCGCCCCAGAGAGUUUCCUGGACCCAACCUUCCUUCCUGUGGCAAUCUAUCUACUGGUACAUAUUGUAAAUAAAUUAUUGCACUUACUUA